GGCCAUAUAGCUCAGUUGGUAGAGCACCUGUGGUACAUUCUCAGAAGGUCCUGGGUUCAAUCCCCAGUCUGGUCA